ACAUAUAAGGGAAAAAGGUAUGGGAAUUCAAUUUCCACCGGUACAACUCGGCAACACAAAUUAGGACAAGUUUGGUUGCCUUUUCAGAUCUGUAAUGAAUUUCUUCAUUCAAAUAUGAAAAAAGGUGCUCUUCCCAGAAUCGACAUUGAAUGGCAUUGUAACAUGUUUUAACUCCAUAAAAAUAAGCUAAUGAUUUAGGUUGUAGCAGAUUGUUUGAGGUGGAUCCAGAGUAGUAUUUAGGGUGUCACUGUAUAACACGCUGAGUACUGCACACGUUUGGAGGGGAGAUCAGCGUCUAAUGGGCAGAUUUAAGAGCUGUGAGCUUGAUUGAAAGGAUUGAGAAGGAUGGGUUCGAAGAGCAUUGGUAUAGUUCUUCCUAUUGUGGGAGGUUCACUGCUACUGUUACUUGUCUUUUUCUUCCUUUAUAAUCUUCUUCCGUCUGUAUGUUAUAUCGCCAUGUCUCAACAGAAGCAGCAGCGGCAACAGAUCACGUAUACUGGGCCAUCAUAUUCAGAAGACCCAGUAGGCCCUCCUUCUGAGGAUGACAUGAAAUGGGCCAAAGCCCAACUGGAGAAGAAUCAUUUGGGUGAAGGCCAAGGAUGGCAUCAGCUUCGUAAGGGCAUUAAUCCUCGCACCAGAGAAGAACAACUUCAGGAUCUUCGGAAAUAUAAAGGAAUUUCACAUUAUGAUGACAAUAACCACACAGCAAUGGAGUGCCCAGGUGAAUUGUUAGUGGAGGAGCAUCACAGCAAUUAUGGGGAGCCGUGGGCGGGAGGGAGAGAUGUGUAUGAGUUUCUUGGGAAGGCUAUACUGCUGAGGCGGGAGCACCAAGUGUUGGAGGUGGGCUGCGGUACCCUCAGAGUGGCCCUGCAUUUCAUUCGUUAUUUGAACCCUGGCAAAUUUCACUGUAUUGAGCGAGAUGAAUUGUCCCUCAUGGCAGCAUUAAGGUAUGAGCUUCCCUCUCAGGGUCUUCUUCACAAGCGUCCUCUCAUUGUACGCAGUGAAGAUAUGGACCUGAGCAGGCUUACAAGGGAAGGGGGAGAACAUGUACAGUAUGAUCUAAUCUAUGCUAGUGCAGUAUUCCUUCACAUGCCUGACGCACUUGUGUGGACAGGGCUGGAAAGGCUGGUACCCAAGCUGGCUCCAAUUCAUGGGCGCCUCUUUGCUUCCCACAACAUCAAAUUUUGUACUCGAUUGCGUGGGGAGAAUGAGUGCUCCGAGAGACUUUCAAAAAUAGGCCUGGAGUAUGUGGGAAAACAUACUCAUGAUAGCCUCCUUUUUAACCACUAUGAAAUUUGGUUUGAGUUUCGCCGCAGCAAGUCCUAGCCACUUUGUCAUUUCAGCAUCAGCGUUCAUCCAAGUGACUUCAUUCGUAGCAGCAGAAAAUUGUUCCUAACAGUGUUUGAAUCCAUGAUGAAUGAUAAAUUGCGGCUUGUGGCUUAGUUUAAAGUCUGUUUUGCCUUUAAUCCAACAUUUGGAAGCUCUAUUCCUUUUUCUUUGUCCAUGGUUAAAAAAGCUUUAAGCAGUUAACCAUCCUGAGCAGUGUGCUUGAACUAAUCUAAUUGCAGGUCUCAGCAUGUUAGACUUCUAACUCAUCGGCAGAUUCAGACUUAUAUUUUUAAAUAUGAGCAUCAAAAAGCAUGCCAGAAAAUGGAUACAAUGUUUCCUGUAUGAGGCACAUGGUACUUUAUGAAAACUGUGAUGAAAUUGCCAGUCAUUCAUAUGUGACAUUUUCCCGCCCGCGCCAGAUCUGAUCUGCACCUGCUGGGGGUGGAAGAGGAAGGGAGGCCUUUGAAUCCAGGUCUCAACAGCUGCAAGUAUUUUCAUUUUCCACCCUACUGUUAGUUUCUUCAUGUUGCAGUUUUGAAUGUGGGUUCUACUUUCAUAUGCACGAUGUUUGUGUUGGUGAUUUGAGUUGUCAGCCCCAAAUUUCUAGGGUUGGAUAAUUUUCGAAGUGUCGAGGGUGUCAAACUCAGGAAGAAAAUCACAAUACCUAUGCUUGGGUUGAGCAACUAAGGGCCAAUUAUGAGAUGGGUAACCUUCACAUUCAAUUUUGCAAGGCCAAGGGGACUUUCCCUAAGGUGUUGAGCUAUAUGAUAUCACAAGGAUUGAAUGAUUAUCGUGCUGCAAACCAUACCGAAUUGACAAUGGACCUUUACUUUGGUUGUCAUAACAUACCCAUGUGCUGGUUUGAGCAAACAAGACUAUACACCUUUGUAGCAAACAAGACGUACUAAAUUUAGUGUUUGAAAUAUGGAUAUAUUGAUCCCUAUUACUGUUAUACACUUGUAUAUGAAACCUGGAAAAAACAACAUAGUUGAAUUUUUUUGUAAUGUUAAUAGUUUGUAUUAACACGACUUACUAGAUAAAGUGUUUGAAAUAUGGAUAUAUUGAUCCCUAUUGCUGUUAUACACUUGUAUAUGAAACCUGGAAAAAAUAACAUAGUUGAAAUUUUUUGUAAUGUUA